GAUGAACGCUGGCGGCGUGCCUAAUACAUGCAAGUCGAGCGAACAGACGAGGAGCUUGCUCCUCUGACGUUAGCGGCGGACGGGUGAGUAACACGUGGAUAACCUACCUAUAAGACUGGGAUAACUUCGGGAAACCGGAGCUAAUACCGGAUAAUAUAUUGAACCGCAUGGUUCAAUAGUGAAAGCCGGUUUUGCUGUCACUUAUAGAUGGAUCCUCGGCGCAUUAGCUAGUUGGUAAGGUAACGGCUUACCAAGGCAACGAUGCGUAGCCGACCUGAGAGGGUGAUCGGCCACACUGGAACUGAGACACGGUCCAGACUCCUACGGGAGGCAGCAGUAGGGAAUCUUCCGCAAUGGGCGAAAGCUUGACGGAGCAACGCCGCGUGAGUGAUGAAGGUCUUCGGAUCGUAAAACUCUGUUAUUAGGGAAGAACAAAUGUGUAAGUAACUAUGCACGUCUUGACGGUACCUAAUCAGAAAGCCACGGCUAACUACGUG
rnacentral:rRNA from 1 species